UACGUAGGGUGCGAGCGUUAAUCGGAAUUACUGGGCGUAAAGCGUGCGUAGGCGGUUCGUUGUGUCCGAUGUGAAAGCCCCGAGCUUAACUUGGGAAUGGCAUUGGAAACUGGCGGGCUGGAGUGUGGCAGAGGGGGGUGGAAUUCCACGUGUAGCAGCGAAAUGCGUAGAGAUGUGGAGGAACACCGAUGGCGAAGGCAG
rnacentral:rRNA from 1 species